GACGAACGCUGGCGGCGUGCUUAACACAUGCAAGUCGAGCGGUAAGGCCCUUUCGGGGGUACACGAGCGGCGAACGGGUGAGUAACACGUGGGUGACCUGCCCUCAGCUCUGGGAUAAGCCUGGGGAACUGGGUCUAAUACCGGAUAUGACUCCAUGACGCAUGUUGUGGGGUGGAAAGCCUUGUGCGGCUGAGGAUGGGCCCGCGGCCUAUCAGCUUGUUGGUGGGGUGANGGCCUACCAAGGCGACGACGGGUAGCCGGCCUGAGAGGGCGACCGGCCACACUGGGACUGAGACACGGCCCAGACUCCGUACGGGAGGCAGCAGUGGGGAAUCUUGCGCAA
rnacentral:rRNA from 1 species